AACCCCCUACAUCUAAGAACCCUAGAUUCCCUAAUUUAUAAAAUGCUCUCAAAUCUUCCUCUCUACCCCGCCGUCUUUCGUCGCCCGUAAAUCGGCAUCUGGCAGGGACUACCACCAAAUGACCCCAAAUUUUCACCAAAUACUCCUCACCACCUCCUCAACCCUAAUCCAGCAUCAUACUCCCUAAAACCCCUCUCAACCUCGCCGAUUAGAAGAUCUAGGAAUAUAUUUUGGCCCAUUUUCCUAAUUACCAUCAACCCAGUGUCAUCUUUAUCUAACUCUUACAACAAAUGAUAUGUCUUUGAGAGACCGUUCAUUUGGGGUCAUUAGUUCACUUCAAUUCUGGUGGCCAAUUCCCCCCAAAACUUUCACCUUUCAUUUUUAAUUGGCGUGCUAAAGUUAUUGUUAUAUGUAGCACUGUCCGAAAUGAAGAAAUCACGGCCAGUACUCGUGUAGCAAUAAUCUUUUCACGUCGGAGUUCAUUUUUGUCAUCUUGAUUCAAUUAGAACAGGUAUAUCUUUCUCUUACUAUUCUUAAUUGUUUAAUUAUGUGUUUAACUUUUAUUGGUCUGAAUUCGUUUUAAUUAAGUUAAGUUUAGUUGUACAAACUUAUGCUCUAAUUGCAACUUGUCACAACCCCAAUAUCCCACCUUAAGGUGUCGUGAUGGCACCUAGUCUCUAAGACUAGUAAGCCUAACAUACAUGAAAAAAUAACAAAAAUAAUAAUAGAAACUAUACAUCCCUAAUACAUCAAUAUCAAUAAUAAGAGUAUGCAACAAAAAUCAAGGACAGAAGGUGACUUCGAGACAUCCGAACGCCGGCAGAUAUACCUUGAAGUCUCCAAUCUGGAAGUUCUACUCACUGGUGCCUAGCUUGGUAUGAGGCACUUGAAUAUUCACAAAAAGAUGUGCGGAAGCGUAGUAUGAGUACACCACAAUAUACCCAGCAAGUAUCAAGCCUAACAUCGGUAAGCAGUGAUGAGGUCAGGUCAAAACACCUACUAGGAUAAGAAAAAGAAAUUGAACAAGUAUAAUAUAGUCUAAGAAUGUAAACAAGGAAAAUGAGGCAAUAAGGAAAUACAACAAGAUUAACUGUGUCACGAUCCAAACCGAUGGGCCGCAUGUCUACAAGCCUUUAAGAGUACAUAAAUGUCAUAAAUGUCAGGAUAGAGUCCCGCUAUACCAAACAAUACAUGUCUAAAUCAUACCAAUCAAACAUGCAACUCUGAAGCGAAUGGAGAGCACCAACAUCCUCCGCUGAGCUGAUAGCCUACUUGGGGGUCUCUCGACCUAUCUAUCUGGACCUGCGGGCAUGAAACGCAGCAUCCCCAGGCAAAAAGGGACGUUAGCACGAAUAACGUAUUGAGUAUGUAAGGCACAUAAAUAAGUACAUAACAGACGUGGAGGAAAUAUAGAAUAAAUGACUCCACAUGUAAGUCUGAAUAACUUUGUAAAUCAUGAAACAAUUAUAGUAUCAUGCAUAUGCAUAUGAAUGUCAUGUCGUGCAUAGGUACAUAUUUCAUAACAUCACCAGCCUCUGAGAGCAUCUCAUCAUAUCAUCUUGGCCACUGUGUGAAAAAUCAUCAACGUAUACCAGUUGAUCAGGUGGUGGUGCGUAUGUAACGCCAUAACCUUUCUCAUAACCCAUAUACAUAUAUAUACAUACAUAUAUACACAUAUAUAAUGCCAUCUGGUCAUGGGUCAACGUACAUGAAUGCAAUGCAUGAAAAUUACAUUAACAAAAUCUUUCGGAAUGUCAUAAGACCAAUUUGUCGUUGAGUAAUACCAUGAAAUAAACCUUAUCAAUUUACGUAUUUUCUGAGACCCAUGAACAGAUGAAAGAAUAAUAGGACACAUGGAGAAUCAAGUACAUAGGCACUUCUAACACUUCAUGAAUAGAGUCAUUUAUGAAAGUUGGUCAUUUUCUCGUUUCGUUCAUAUCGUAUAGAUCGUGCCAAAAGAAAGAAAGGAUAGCCUUAACAUACCUGAGCCUAUUCUCUUGACAAUCCUUCUAAUAUAUGUUGAUUGCGACAAAACGCAUAACGGCGGAUCGAAGUAGGGGAAAAUUCGUAUGGUAUUCUUGAGAAAGAUUGCACCGUGAUCUCUUAGAAUCGGAUUUACGCUAUUGUAGCAAUCCAUCCGUUAGCAAGCCUAGAUCUCUUGUAAGAGUUCAUAAGUAUUAUUUUGAAUUACAUGCUUUAGUUGCUGCCCAUAAUUUCCUCUUAAAUGACUAGCUCUUGUUUGAUGUGUGCAUGGAAUGAUGCAGCAAAUGGAGGUUUAAAUAAUCUUGUAAGUUUGUAAUUUGAGUAUAUCCAAAUACAAAAAUGGAAUGAAAUUAGGAACAAAUAUCACCCACUCACUUGGUAUAUGGAAACACUUUUUCGUAUGAACAACACCAGUAUGUAACAAUCUCUCAUAUUUUAAAGAUUUGUGGCUCCCACUUUUGGGAUGACUUAGUCACAAAUAUAUCUUAAAAUAUGACACCUUGCAAUUCUUUUUAAGAGUCAUUGAUUUGAAUUGUGGGCUGCCACAUUACAAUAUUAUCCAAAUAUAUCCCCAAUAAAUAGGUAAUGUCUUGUUACCCCGUAAAAUUGAGAAUUAUUUUGACUUACUUAAAAUAUUACUCACUUUUCACAUACCUUAUACACCUUACUAUUAUGAUCAUGUGGUACCUUGUAUGGUACUAGUCCAUAAAUACCGAGUAUUUUAGCUUGAGCUAGAUUUUAUCCCAAUAUGCCAAACUUGGACGAAAAUUCGUUUUCUUUGACUUGCUUCCCUUUCACCUUUACGAAUUUACUUAUUACUUAUUUGAAAUGGCAUAAUCUUUAUAAUCUCCAAAUAAUCUUUUCCAUGGACUAAUGUCAGUUACCUUAUGACAAAUUCAACGUACAACACUAUAGGGUGCAACAUCGUUGUAAUGUAGUACUGUGGGAUGUGACAUCUCACUUUCGGGUUCUCAUUAGUUUAUUUAUGGUGUGUUUUCAUGUACAAAAAUAUGGGGUGUAACAUCAUUCCCCUUUUGGAACAUUCAUCCUUGAAUGUUGAAUGAUGCGCUUAUUGUUAUCAUAUCCCAAAGCUCUUGCGAAUACUUUAGUAGUCCUUUUGUCACCUAGGCAACUAUUCUGUGAAUAAGUCCAAAGGCCAGGACAUUCCCUCCUUUAGGCCUCUUUCCCACGCCAUGACAUGUGAUCGAAUUCCUUCCACUCUCGUAACUGUUGCUGCCUUCCAUUAUGUUGCUUAUACGAUAUGAACCUUGUAAGUAUGCCUAUGCGACUCUCCUCUCCUUUUUCCUCCAGAUUUUAGCCAAUCCUGAAGUUCUUCGCUUGGUAUUUGUCGAACUUACGAAUAUUGCUAUAUCUUAUUUUAUAGACCUGGUUAUCCAUUCGUAUGGCUUUACUACACCUACAUAGGUCAUACUAUACCAUAAUUUUUACCUCGAUUUCUCAUUAUUGAAGUCUGCUACCAAAUCUCAGAUUACUUUCAUUGCUUAUCUCAUACAUAUAAAUCUAUAUCCUCUAAUGCCUCCAUAUUACUGUUCAUCUUUAAUAAUGACGGCAUAAUCUCCUCUCAUACUUUAUAACUUUUAACCAUCCAUUGUCGAUUCACCUCAAUUUCGAUCCAUAAUCUACCCCUAAUAACUCAACCUUUUCUGUAAUAUUGCUACUAGGAAUCACAUUUUAUCGGGGAACAUCUGAAAUGGUUAGAAUGAUCCACCAGAGGAGAUACCCUGCUUUCAUAACCAUAUCUCAUGGCAUCCCAAUGUGAUUCAUCGUGCGUGGGUAUUUUAAUCCUGUCCAAUUCAUGAGAUCCCUUUCUUUUAUUCGUCAGAUCAUUACUCAAUCUAAGGCCUAAACAUCAUUUUUUUUGUCUAUAAUAACUACACCCUCAUUUUAUUAACAGGGCAGCAUUCCAUCUCUUCUGAAUGUUAUUAGUCUUAGACUCCUUUGAGUUCAUUCAGGUUAUACUGAACUUUCUAUAACUUAGAGAAAGCAAUAGCUUUCUUGUUUUCAUGGCUCUUAAUCCCGAUGACUUAUCCGUUCUCGUCACCAUCUUACUCGCCCUUUCUCGUUCUUACUCCUGUCAUAAAACUUUGUCGCUUUACUAUAUUUUAGCAUGGGACCCAUACAUAUCUAUUUAUAUUAUUCACAUCUUUCCUUCAACUUGCUUGCACCAUAGAUUUCCUUAUGUUGUUCUGGAACAUCAAGUAAGACAUCACAUUGUCUCUAACUAUUCUUUACUCUCACAAUCAAGCUUUUCGAUACCUAGACCAUAGGUUAGAAGAUAUGCUAUUGACGUUGUUGCUAUCAUUCCUGGAUAUUCCCCGCGCUUCUAGCCUUCUAUCCCAAGUAUGGAAUAUUCUCAACCUUUUGCUUCUGAGUAUCUCGUUCAUUAUUCACAUUUACCUUACUUUCCUUAAAGCCUCACAUCACAUCUUAUAUCUCUUUCAUGACCUUCCCUCCACAUAGAUAUAAUGCACAUCCACGUCUUGAACUUCUAUUAUAAUACAUGCACCUUUUUACAAAAUCUCAUGAGAGCUUCAUACUAACCUCUUAUGAGGUUGAGACACCUCUAAGUGGCUUUAUCGUAGUGCCGUUAUAGAAUAUAGCUACUGCAUUAUCUCUCUCGUACCUUUGAUAGUAAGGGUGAUUCUGCAAUGUUUUCAAUCACGAUUUCUAUAAUUUUCAGGGUCCAAUAAUCAGAUUCCUGAUUUACUUCGUUGAUGUAUAUCUUUAGUUUCCUCUUUCUUAUCAGCCUUUAUGUAGGCUUAAGCCACCUACCGAUAUGAGGUUCGUGGUAUUAGUCAUUACUUUAGCCCUCCAUGGACGUUAUGGAAUAUCCAUGAUACAAUCUUUUAAUAAUUCAUUCCUUUAUCUAUGACCUGGGCUCAAUUCUUUCUUUUAAACUAUACCGAAAUCUUCUACGGCUAUAUGAUUGUCAACAUACAUGCUGCAUGGAUAAUACCCUGAACUCUCAAGUGCAUUCAUAAAGUAACCAAACUUUGGAUCAUUGAUCGAAUGAUUCUUUCAUUCCUUCUUAGUUUUCUUUAAACGUAAGCCAUUACCUUUCCUAUUAUUUCUUCCCCCUUGUUGCAUGCAUACUUAGCUUAUCUUAGCUCUCACGCAUACCGGAAUUUUCGUACAACUCAUAUGAUCUUCGAAUAUUGCUUUUGAUUUUACUUCCCAUUCAUUAGCCACGGUAGGUUCCUCUUUCUUAUGGAGAACGUACAAUGUCGUUGUGAAACUGUUGUUACAAGACCAUUUCCUCUUUAGGUUGCUGAGUUCAGGUUGCAGCCUUUUUCCUUAUUGUCCUUAACUUGUCUUUCAUUAUAGUACUUAGGGAGGACUCUCUGACUCUUGUAAAUCUGUGAGCUUAUUAUAUUGUACACUCGACGGACCAUCUAAUGUCUUUCGUUGCCUAUACUUAUCUGUAGUUACUUAUCUCCAUGCCCUUGUGCUUGUGGGGUUGAUUCUGGACUGAUAUUUUGACCGUCUUCCUAGUGGAACUCUUUUUUAUUUCCGUAACACUCAUACAGUACCUUUUUCACUUCGCCGCGGUAGGUUCCUCUUUCUUAUGGAGAACGUACAAUGUUGUUGUGAAACUGUUGUUACAAGACCAUUUCCUCUUUAAGUCGCUGAGUUCAGGUUGCAGCCUUCUUCCUUAUUGUCCUUAACUUGUCUUUCAUUGUAGUACUUAGGGAGGACUCUCUGACUCUUGUAAAGCUAUGAGCUUAUUACAUUGUACACUUGACGGACCAUCUAAUGUCCUUCCUUGCCUAUACUUGUCUGUAGUUACUUAUCUCCAUGCCCUUGUGCUUGUGGGGUUGAUUCUGGACUGAUAUUUUGACCAUCUUCCUAGUGGAACUCUUUUUUAUUUCCUUAACACUCAUACAGUACCUUUUCACUUCUCCAACUCUUAUAUGAAUAUAUCUCAACUAUUACAAUGUCAUAACUGCGGGGCUGAAUUCACUAUAUUGGGUUUUACUAUUUUUAUCUUGCACAACCUAUUGUUAUGUCUGUUUCCUCUUGACUGGCCAUAAUUAGGCUCUUCCUGAAUCAACUACUAACUACUCGUUGGCCCAUUCUCAUGUCAAUAUUCCACAAAAUCUUUCUUGGGUUAUUUUCUUUGUCUUAACUUACGUCUCACACUAACUCCUUAUCUAUCAAUAACAUCUCGGGCAGGGACCUGUACUUCCUCUCAUUGACGUCAUAAUUGCAUAAUGUUCUGGAAUUGUAGCAUAUACGUAGGAGCUGAAUAAGUGUAAUCUCAUUCCUUUUUUGUGUUUACCGCAUUCUUCAUUUACCAUUCCAUGAUUACUAGAACCAUUUAAUUCUGACUUUAUGUCACAUCACUUCAUAUUCCUCCCUUUAGGGGAGUACUAAGAUUUAGCAUUAUGAUGAUCUACUUGUAGAUGUUUUACCUCUUUAGCCUUGGCGUUUUCUCACAUCAUCGAUGACCCUUACUCGCCUUGUGGUAAUCCUUUUGUACCAAGAAAAUGAAAUUUCUCACUCGCGAAAGUGGCACUUAGUGUAACUGGCACACAUAGUCCCUUAAGCUUAAACUUUGCUCACAUUGCUUGCUUUAGGGAAGCGUCUUCCUGAAUGACCAUUUUUUGAAUUUCUUCUGAAUCUUUGUCUGUUGUCCAUUCUACUAUCGCUAGAACAAAAUCUAAAAUUCUCAUGAUGCCGACUAUUAUCAAAUCAUUCAGUCCUUAAUUUAUGUUUAGUUUAUCUUGUUCACCAGCCCAUACUGAUUCCUAUUACUCCGGGGUCUAACUUUUCCUCUUGGUAAUCGCUCUAGAGUUGCGAUCUUAUUUCUCAAAAUAAGGACAUGACUGUAUGGCAUAUACUCUUUUGUUGUCUUAAGGCUUAUCACCUCUUGUCUCUUCCUUUACUUGAAUAUAGAUUUUGUAAUAUUAUCAUCUUUUGAUCUACCGUUGUCAUCCAUGUACCACAUCUUACUCAGAAUGCUUCAUUAACUCUUUUCUUAUUUCCUGCUAACAUUUAUGCCUAUCACUUUAUUCUGAAAACUCGAACAAGAAAUUCUUUUGCUUUUAGCUUCCCUUUGUUCCAUCUAGUGGCUCAUCAAGUUGCUUAACGUUCUCUAUUUACUAGGGACANNNNNNNNNNNNNNNNNNNNNNNNNNNNNNNNNNNNNNNNNNNNNNNNNNNNNNNNNNNNNNNNNNNNNNNNNNNNNNNNNNNNNNNNNNNNNNNNNNNNNNNNNNNNNNNNNNNNNNNNNNNNNNNNNNNNNNNNNNNNNNNNNNNNNNNNNNNNNNNNNNNNNNNNNNNNNNNNNNNNNNNNNNNNNNNNNNNNNNNNNNNNNNNNNNNNNNNNNNNNNNNNNNNNNNNNNNNNNNNNNNNNNNNNNNNNNNNNNNNNNNNNNNNNNNNNNNNNNNNNNNNNNNNNNNNNNNNNNNNNNNNNNNNNNNNNNNNNNNNNNNNNNCUCUGAUACCACUUUUGUCACGACCCAAACCGAUGGGCUGCGACGGGCGCCCGGUAUCCUACUCAACCGAGUACCAAUGUAACGUAUCUUUCUUAUUAUAUUAUCAUAUACAUGUGACAUACGGGCCUAAUAGGCCCAAACUAUCCUUUAUAAACUCAAAUCAUAGGUUGACAAGGCCGUACAAUCUUUCAUGUACACGACAAAUGUCUACAAGCCUCUAAGAGUAUAUAAAUGUCAUAAAUGUUGGGACAGAGUCCCGCUAUACCAAAUAAUACACGUCUAAAUCAUACUAACCAAACACGCAACUUCAAAGCAAAUGGAGCGCACCAACAUCUUCUGCUGAGUUGAUAGCCUACUUGGAGGGCUCUCGACCCGUCUAUCUGGACCUGCGGGCAUGAAACGCAGUGUCCCAAGGAAAAAAGGGACAUCAGUACAAAUAAUGUACUGAGUAUGUAAGGCACAUAAAUAAGUACAUAACAGACAUGGAGGAAAUAUAGAAUAAAUGACUCCACCUGUAAGUCCGAAUAACUUUGUAAAUCAUGAAACAAUUAUAGUAUCAUGCAUAUGCGUAUGAAUGUCAUGGCGUGCAUAGGUACAUGUUUCAUAACAUCACCAGCCUCUGAGGACAUCCCAUCAUAUCAUCUUGUCCACUGUGGGCAAAAUCAUCAACAUAUACUAGAUGAUCAGGUGGUGGUGCGUAUAUAACGUCAUAACCUUUCCCAUAUCCUAUAUACAUAUAUAUACAUACAUAUAUACGCGUAUAUAACACCAUCCGGUCAUGGAUCAAUGUACAUGAAUGCAAUGCAUGAAAAUUACGUUAAUAAAAUCUUUCGGAAUGUCAUAAGACCAUUUUGCUGUUGAGUAAUAUCAUGAAAUAAACCUUAUCAACUUACGUAUUUUUUGAGACCCAUGAACAGAUGAAAGAAUAAUAGGACACAUGGAGAAUCAAGAACAUUGGCACUUCUAAUACUUCUAUGAAUAGAGUCAUUUAUGGAAGUUGGUCAUUUUCGCGUUUCGUUCAUAUCGUAUAGAUCAUGCCAAAAGAAAGAAGGGAUAGCCGUAACAUACCUGAGUCGAUUCUCUUGACAAUCCCUCUAAUAUACAUUGAUUACGACAAAACGCGUAACGGCGGAUCAAAGUAGGGGAAAAUUCGUAUGGUAUUCUUGAGAAAGAUUGCACCGUGCUCUCUUAGAAUCAGAUUUUACGCUAUUGUAGCAAUCCAUCCAUUAGCAAUCCUAGAUCUCUUGUAAGAGUUCAUAAGUAUUAUUUUGAAAAUGACAUGCUUUAGUUGUUGCCCAUAAUUUCCUCUUAAAUGACUAGCUCUCGUUUGAUGUGUGCAUGGAAUGAUGCAGCAAAUGGAGGUUCAAAUAAUCUUGUAAGUUUGUAAUUUGUGUAUAUCCAAAUACAAAAAUAGAGUGAAAGUAGGAACAAAUAUAACCCAUUCACUUGGUAUAUGGAAACACUUUUUCGUAUGAACAAUACCAAUAUGUAACAAUCUCUCAUAGUUUAAAGAUUUGUGGCCCCACUUUUGGGAUGACUUAGUCACAAAUAUAUCUUAAAAUAUGACACCUUGCAAUUCUUUUUAAAAGUCAUUGAUUUGAAUUGUGGGCUGCCACGGUACAAUCUUAUCCAAAUAUAUCCCCAAUUAAUUAGGUAAUGUCCUAUAACCCCGUAAAAUUGAGAAUUAUUCUCACUUACUUAAAAUAUUACUCACUUUUCACAUACCUUAUAUACCUUAUUAUUAUGGUCAUGUGGUACCUUGUAUGAUAUUAGUCCAUAAAUACCGAGUAUUUUAGCUUGAGCCGUAUUUUAUCCCAACAUGCCAAACUUGGACGAAAAUUCGUUUUCUUUGACUUNNN
rnacentral:lncRNA from 1 species